rnacentral:rRNA from 1 species
AUUGAACGCUGGCGGCAGGCCUAACACAUGCAAGUCGAGCGGAUGAAGGGAGCUUGCUCCUGGAUUCAGCGGCGGACGGGCGAGUAAUGCCUAGGAAUCUGCCUGGUAGUGGGGGAUAACGUCCGGAAACGGGCGCUAAUAUCGCAUACGUCCUGAGGGAGAAAGAGGGGGAUCUUCGGACCUCACGCUAUCAGCUGAGCCUAGGUCGGAUUAGCUAGUUGGUGGGGUAAAGGCCUACCAAGGCGACGAUCCGUAACUGGUCUGAGAGGAUGAUCAGUCACACUGGAACUGAGACACGGUCCAGACUCCUACGGGAGGCAGCAGUGGGGAAUAUUGGACAAUGGGCGAAAGCCUGAUCCAGCCAUGCCGCGUGUGUGAAGAAGGUCUUCGGAUUGUAAAGCACUUUAAGUUGGGAGGAAGGGCAGUAAGUUAAUACCUUGCUGUUUUGACGUUACCAACAGAAUAAGCACCGGCUAACUUCGUG